rnacentral:lncRNA from 10 species
UUCAUUCCGACAAUAAAUAUUCACUGAAGAUCUGCCACAUGUCAGGCCCCAGCCCAGGUCAGGAAAUUGAGGUCCAGUGAGGUGUCUUGGCCAGGACACUCAGUCAGGACGUGACAUGAACACAGGACUGUCUGACUUCAAAUCCAGUGCUCCUUCCCCUGCAGGUGAGGAAACCGGGGCGUGGAGAGGCUGUGUUACUUGCUCAAGGUCACAUUACUAGCAAGUUCCAGAUCAAGAUGCAUCCCCAGGCAGUCUGGCUCCAGACUCCGUGCAUUUACCUGCAGAACCCCUCUCCAGCCAGCAUCUGACCUGUGGCCCAGGAGUGUGCACCCUCU